rnacentral:rRNA from 1 species
GGACGAACGCUGGCGGCGUGCUUAACACAUGCAAGUCGAACGGAAAGGCCCUGCUUUUGUGGGGUGCUCGAGUGGCGAACGGGUGAGUAACACGUGAGUAACCUGCCCUUGACUUUGGGAUAACUUCAGGAAACUGGGGCUAAUACCGGAUAGGAGCUCCUGCUGCAUGGUGGGGGUUGGAAAGUUUCGGCGGUUGGGGAUGGACUCGCGGCUUAUCAGCUUGUUGGUGGGGUAGUGGCUUACCAAGGCUUUGACGGGUAGCCGGCCUGAGAGGGUGACCGGCCACAUUGGGACUGAGAUACGGCCCAGACUCCUACGGGAGGCAGCAGUGGGGAAUAUUGCACAAUGGGCGGAAGCCUGAUGCAGCAACGCCGCGUGCGGGAUGACGGCCGUCGGGUUGUAAACCGCUUUCGCCUGUGACGAAGCGUGAGUGACGGUAAUGGGUAAAGAAGCACCGGCUAACUACGUG